GGGGGCGUACCUGGUUUCGACGCGGGUGCUGAAUCCCAAGGGGCAUGCCGAGGUGCAGAUCACCUCGUUAAUCCAUCUGCAAACUUAAAUAGUUGACGAAAAGUACAACUACGCUCUGGCUGCUUAAACGCCGGCCAGCCCCUGACUGAAUUGUGCUUGUGCAUUCAACUCAGGGGUCACAAACACAAGCUCGCGAUGAAGUCCGUCCCGGGCGGAUUCGCUAAAUCUUAAGGGACUCGUUGCUUGCGUUCCCCUGCCGUUUCGGGUAACAGGCGAUUAAAUUUAAAGAGACGGCUAAGCAUGUAGAACCGAAGGCUGAUGGCUUGCGGACGCCGGUUCGACUCCGGCCGCCUCCACCA
rnacentral:tmRNA from 1 species